GGGAAGGGUGCCCUCGCUAAGGAGAUUGCGGCGGACCCGGAAGUGCUUGGCCACAGUCGCAGCCCCGGCGCCCCGAAGCGGGAAAAAGGCUGGGUGCCGCCGUCCCCCAGCUGCGCAACCCUAGGAACUCUCGGCAAAAAAAAAGAGCAUGAGGAAUUUGAAGACUGAGAGAUGAGUUGUGUAGCACCAACAUUUUCUUUCUGCCUGACCUUCAUACCUGAUGAAUUAAAAGUACUGGUGACAGUAACAGUUUCCCUCUGUCUUUUGGCUGUCCACACUGAAGGAUGAUAGAGAUGAGUAGAAGAAGGCCAAACCCAGCCAUCACCAGAACAGGGCCUGCUGGCUUUGUGAGCAUUUCACAAUAUUGUCUGGAGCUGUUUGGCUUAUAGAAGAGGGAAGGUACUAUGAGGUGAUGAUACAGUGUUUUGGUGUCCCAAAGAAAUAAAAUCCAGCACUGUCCAAUUGAAGUAUAAUGCAAGCCACAUUUCUAGUAGCCAUAUUUUAAAAAGUAACAAUAAAGUGUUGAAAUUUACCUUAAUACUGCCUUUUUUAACCAAAUAGGUCCAAAAUAUUAUUAUUUUGACAGGCAUUAUGAGUUGAGUUGUGUCCCCCACAAAAUUCAUGUUGAAGCCCUAACCAGCAGUACCACAGAAUGUGACUAUAUUGAGAGAUGGGGUUUUAAAAGAAGUAAUUAAGUUAAAAUGGUUUCAUUAGGGUGGGCCCUAAUCCAAUAUAACUGAUGUUCUUAUAACAAGAGGCAAUAUGGACAUGGGCACACACAGAGGGAAGAUCAUGUGAUGACAUGAGUCAAGAAGAGAGGCCUCAGAAGAAACCAACCUGACAACACCUGGAUCUCAGACUUCUACCUUCUAGAAUUGUGAAAAAUACAUUUAUCUUGCUUAACCCACCUAGUCUAUGAUAAUUUGUUAUGGCAUCUCUAGCAAACUAAUACAAUAUGUAAUCAAUUAAUGAAAAUAAAAUGUAUUAAUAAGAUAUUUUGCAUUCUUUUAUUGUAGAAAGUAUUGGAAAUCUAAUGUAUAUGUUACACUUACAGCACAUCACAACUGG
rnacentral:lncRNA from 1 species